UACAGAGGGGGCAAGCGUUGUUCGGAAUUACUGGGCGUAAAGGGCGCGUAGGCGGCCGUGCAAGUCUGGCGUGAAAGCCCCGGGCUCAGCCCGGGAAGUGCGCUCGAAACUGCGCGGCUCGAGUGCCGGAGGGGAGAGUGGAAUUCCUGGUGUAGCGGUGAAAUGCGUAGAUAUCAGGAGGAAUACCGGUGGCGAAAGCGACUCUCUGGACGGCAACUGACGCUGAGGCACGAAAGCGUGGGGAGCAAACAGG
rnacentral:rRNA from 1 species